rnacentral:rRNA from 1 species
GAACGCUGAAGCCCUGGUGCUUGCACCGGGGUGGAUGAGUGGCGACGGGUGAGUAACACGUGAGUAACCUGCCCCCGACUUCGGGAUAAGCCCGGGAAACUGGGUCUAAUACCGGAUAUGACSYSRMWSGCAUSWKUGRUKGUGGAAAGUUUUUUCGGUUGGGGAUGGGCUCGCGGCCUAUCAGUUUGUUGGUGAGGUAAUGCUCACCAAGACGACGACGGGUAGCCGGCCUGAGAGGGCGACCGGCCACACUGGGACUGAGACACGGCCCAGACUCCUACGGAGGCAGCAGUGGGGAAUAUUGCACAAUGGGGGAAACCCUGAUGCAGCGACGCAGCGUGCGGGAUGACGGCCUUCGGGUGUAAACCGCUUUCAGCAGGGAAGAAGCCYUUCGGGGUGACGGUACCUGCAGAAGAAGUACCGGCUAACUACGUGCCAGAGCCGCGGUAAUACGUAGGGUACAAGCGUUGUCCGGAAUUAUUGGGCGUAAAGAGCUCGUAGGUGGUUGGUCACGUCUGUGUGGAAACGCAACGCUUAACGUUGCGCGUGCAGUGGGUACGGGCUGACUAGAGUGCAGUAGGGGAGUCUGGAAUUCCUGUGUAGCGGUGAAAUGCGCAGAUAUCAGGAGGAA